UCUGCUCCACUUUCUUGAUCCUGGCAAGUUUAAGAAUAAGGAUGAGUUUGUUGAAAACUACAAGAACCUUAGCUCAUUUAAUGAAUCUGAACUCGCCAAUCUUCAUUUAGAAUUGAGACCCCAUAUUCUACGACGAGUGAUUAAAGAUGUUGAGAAGUCGUUGCCUC